rnacentral:rRNA from 1 species
UACAGAGGUCUCAAGCGUUGUUCGGAUUCAUUGGGCGUAAAGGGUGCGUAGGUGGCGCUGUAAGUCGGGUGUGAAAUCUCGGAGCUUAACUCCGAAACUGCAUUCGAUACUGCGGUGCUUGAGGACUGGAGAGGAGACUGGAAUUCAUGGUGUAGCAGUGAAAUGCGUAGAGAUCAUGAGGAAGACCAGUGGCGAAGGCGGGUCUCUGGACAGUUCCUGACACUGAGACACGAAGGCCAGGGGAGCAAACGGG